GCAAGUCGAACGAGAGCGUAGAGAAAGCUUGCUUUUUCUACAAUCUAGUCGCUAACGGGUGAGUAACGCGUAAACAACCUGCCCUACGGAUGGGGACAACAGCUGGAAACGGCUGCUAAUACCGAAUACGUUCCGAAAGUCGCAUGACUAUCGGAAGAAAGGAUGGCCUCUAUUUAUAAGCUAUCGCCGGAGGAGGGGUUUGCGUCUGAUUAGCUAGUUGGAGGGGUAACGGCCCACCAAGGCGACGAUCAGUAGCCGGUCUGAGAGGAUGAACGGCCACAUUGGAACUGAGACACGGUCCAGACUCCUACGGGAGGCAGCAGUGGGGAAUCUUCCGCAAUGGGCGAAAGCCUGACGGAGCAACGCCGCGUGAGUGAAGACGGCCUUCGGGUUGUAAAGCUCUGUUAUACGGGACGAAUAAUCUUGUGGUUAAUACCCAUGAGAAGUGACGGUACCGUAAGAGAAAGCCACGGCUAACCACGUGCCAGCAGCCGCGGUAAUACGUAGGUGGCAAGCGUUGUCCGGAAUUAUUGGGCGUAAAGGGCGCGCAGGCGGCUUCUUAAGUCUGUCUUAAAAGUGCGGGGCUUAACCCCGUGAUGGGAUGGAAACUGGGAAGCUCAGAGUAUCGGAGAGGAAAGCGGAAUUCCUAGUGUAGCGGUGAAAUGCGUAGAUAUUAGGAGGAACACCAGUGGCGAAAGCGGCUUUCUGGACGAAAACUGACGCUGAGGCGCGAAAGCCAGGGGAGCGAACGGGAUUAGAUACCCCGGUAGUCCUGGCCGUAAACGAUGGGUACUAG
rnacentral:rRNA from 1 species